UCGGUUGGUGAACCUGCGGAAGGAUCAUUA
rnacentral:rRNA from 1 species